GUGACCCAAGAUGUCACACACAUGACCACUGGGUCACAUGUGCAUCAGUAGGUGGAAGAGAGGAGAGGCUAUGUCUUUGCUCAGUGUUCUGACCUGUGAACAUCUGAAUGAUUAAUAGACUAACAUU